rnacentral:rRNA from 1 species
CCUUCGGGGGACAAGUAGAGUGGCGCACGGGUGAGUAACACGUAGGUAAUCUACCUUUGGAUUGGGAAUAACAACCGGAAACGGUUGCUAAUACCGAAUAAUGCAGCGGCACCUAAUGGUGACAGUUGUUAAAGCGGGGGAUCGCAAGACCUCGCGUCUGAAGAGGAGCCUGCGGCGGAUUAGCUAGUUGGUAAGGUAACGGCUUACCAAGGCGAUGAUCCGUAGCCGGCCUGAGAGGGCGGUCGGCCACACUGACACUGACAUACGGGUCAGACUCCUACGGGAGGCAGCAGUCGGGAAUUUUGGGCAAUGGGCGAAAGCCUGACCCAGCAACGCCGCGUGAAGGAUGAAAUCCCUCGGGAUGUAAACUUCGCAAGAACGGGAAGAAUAAGUAGGGGACAAUACCCCCUAUGAUGACGGUACUGUUUGUAAGCUCCGGCUAACUCCGUGCCAGCAGCCGCGGUAAUACGGGGGGAGCAAGCGUUGUUCGGAUUUACUGGGCGUAAAGGGCGCGUAGGCGGCCACCGCAAGUCGACUGUGAAAUCUCCGGGCUUAACUCGGAAAGGUCAGCCGAUACUGCGGGGCUAGAGUGCAGAAGGGGCAACUGGAAUUCUCGGUGUAGCGGUGAAAUGCGUAGAUAUCGAGAGGAACACCUGCGGCGAAGGCGGGUUGCUGGGCUGACACUGACGCUGAAGUGCGAAAGCUAGGGGAGCGAACGGGAUUAGAUACCCCGGUAGUCCUAGCCUUAAACGAUGAAUGC